rnacentral:lncRNA from 1 species
UUAAGGCUCUAAAGGUUGGUUCCAGAGCUAUUCUUAGUUUCUAGAUAUGAUGUAGAAUAGACCCCUGAAUUCAGCAUCCAGUCGGUUUUAGCAGUACCCUCAGGUAGUCUGCGAAGAGAGACGGUUUGAUAGUGGGUCUCCUAGAUUUUCUAACUGCAUCCAUGGAUUGUGUAACGAAAACCUUAAGUUUGCCUGUGUCAUGCAGAGUUCUGAGUGGGGUCUAGUGCCUAAGUGACAGGACUGUGGAAUUUAAUUCACAAGAAUACUAUUUUGCUUUGCUAGAUAGCUUAGUGAUUUGGCCAUUUAGAGACUGUCAGUAAUACCAAAUGAUUUAGGAGGGCAAAUCACAUUUCAGAAUGAGUUUUGUGAAAUUUUCUUGAGAUUUGCAUGUUUUCUGCCUGUCUUGAAAAUAUCUGUUUAUUAAUUAUAUUGCAUACACCCCCACUUUUAAAACCAGUUCAGUUAUCUCUCACUGUGGCCAAAAAAAAAAAAAAGAAAAAAAGAAAACCCACACUUGUUCUUGGGUUUUUCUUAGAGGUUCCUGGGGAACAAAAACUAAUUUAAUAACAUUUGGAAGUAUCAAGGGAAACAAAAUGAAUUUUUUUUUUUUCUCAAGACUACUCAGUGCCUUUGAAAUGUCUGACUUACAGAACCUUUUUCUCUGGAUAUCUCCCGGAACCAGUGUUCUAUAGAAUACACUUCAGGAAGCCUUAUAUCAUAAUAUUUCUAAAUACUCUGAGCACUGCUCUUGCUUCUUUAAUAGCUGCUCAGGUAGUCUAGGCCUGUUUCACUUUUCUAAAAAAACAAGAAAACUCAUACUUUAAAAAAGCCAUGCUAUCUUCUCUGCAAGAUAUUGUCUCUUCCUCUCAAUGUACCCCUCUGUAGCUAAAACAAGAUCUAGCAACACAUGUAGAAAUGUAUACAAAGCUGUCUUUUUUGCCAUAGCAUGUCAGUGGUCAAACUGCAUUACAACAGAGGUAUUCAGAUUCCUCUUUUUUUUUUUUUUUUUUGUCAUGACCAUUAUUACCACAUUUCCUUUCUGUGUCAUGGCUUUCUUUUUUUUUUUUCUGUCUUUUUUUUUUUUAAUUACAAUAUUUGCAUUCUCCAGCCAGUUCUGAGACCUGUUUGGAUCAUAUUUUUCUGGCAAAGAAAACAAUGUAUUCUUUGUUCCAUAACUUCACAAAUAAAAUGACUUUCAGCUGCUUGAAAAUAGCCACAUCGACAGAGAUUUGAUGAAUUAGAAUCAUAGUGCAGAACAAGAGGAUGGGAAUUUGUGGACUUCAAAUUUAGUACAAAUAUUCUUAUUUUAAUGAUGUUUACUUUAAAUUUAUGACUCCCCCUUUCACCCAGGUGACUCCUAAAUACUUUAUGAUAUUGUAAUAUUUUAAUACUCACUGUUGGAUUUAACUGAAAAUGUAUCCCAGCAGCCCUUCAGGCACUAAGUAUACCACACCCUGGCUUGAAGCUCUGUAAGAGCUGGGCCAUCUCUGAGGCUCCAGCUUUUCCACUACGUCUGCUGAGGCCCAGCUUGAGAUUGGUUUGUGGUCUCAGUACAUUUAGUUGCUCCAGUUUCAAUUGUCUUGGCUGUUCUCAAGUAACCCCCUUUUUUCUUUUUUUUUUAAAUUGAUGGAAAUCCUUGUUACUAUCUUAUUUUAAACAUGUUUUUAGAACUUCUUGAAUAUUAGGUAAACCUAAUUCAAGAUAUAUUAUUCAAGAAUAUGGUAUUAAUUUUAUGGUUUUUCAAAUGAACUUUGAAUGAAUUAUCAAAGUGCCGUUUUAGACAGUCUUGCUUUUGUGAGUCACAUGACACCCCAUUAUGUUGACUGCCAUAUCCUUUAGUUUCACAAGUCUCCCCUCAGUAAUGAUGACUACCAAAGUCUUUAAUUACCAAAAUCAUUAGAUAUCUAAGAUAUAAUGAGUCUAAUAUUUAGGAAUAUUUUCUUACCACCUCUUCCCAGCCCUCUCUGCUUCCCAACAUAGAGACAUACAGUAUUUUUGAAAAGGUUAUUAUUUUCUCAACUCUUGGAUCUUAAAAAUAUAGUUAGUUCUAAACCUCAUGUCCUGUGUAAUUGUUCUUCUGGCAUCCUUGAACAAUGAUGAAGUUGUCUGUCUACAGAAUGGUUCUACUAAAAGUUAUUCUUUGAAUUCUAAUGUGGCAUAAUGGGUGUUCUUAAAGUAUCUUUUAGUCAUACUUUUAUUAACCAGCUGUUUCACAAGUAUCCCUUUAUAAGGAUAUGGCUUAGGGCAUAGGGAAUAAAAUAGCUAGUAGGAAACAUUGCAAAAUGUGACAUGAAUUAAGAGUCUGUUAGUUUAUCUCAUGAGAGAGAAUACAUGCUAUGUCACACUAUAAAGCACUAAGUGGGCCGCAGCUAGUUUAUGAAUGGAAACAAGCCAUUUACACUGACUGUGCAGUCAGUUUCCUUCAUAGGCUAUAUCUCAGUUUGCAUUAAAAGCAUGUUGACUUUAGAAGCCAUUUAGUAUAUAUUAUAGAUAAAUAAAAAUUGUCUGUAGUGGGCAUAUUAGAUAUAUAAUAAGUCCCCCCUUAUCUGUAGGGGAUAUGUUCCAAGACCCCCAGUGAAUGCCUGAAACUGCAAGAAAUACCAAACCCUAUAUAUACUAACUUUUGUCCUAAACACACAUACCUCUGAUAAAAUGUAUUUUAUAAAAUAGGCACAAUAAGAGAUUAACAGUGAUAACUAAUAAUAAAAUAGAACAGUUGUAACAAUAUAGAUACGAGUUGAAUGUGAAUGUGGUCUCUCUCUCUCUGUCAACAUCUCAUUGUACUAUAUUCAUCCCUCUUCUCCUUGUGAUGAAGAAAGAAUAGAGAAGGAUAGCAUGAAAUGUUAUCACCCUACUCAGAAUGGCAUGCAAUUUAAACUUAUGAAUUGUUUAUUUCCAGAAUUUUUCAUGUAAUGUGUUUGGACCAUGGUUGACUGUUGGUAACUGAAACCACGGAAAGCAAAAUCCCAGAUAAGGGAGGCUAUUGUGUUUUCUUUAGGAAAAUUCCUUUAAAAGCUUAUAGUGAGCUUAUAGUGGCUAGCAUUAGGCCUAAAAUACUCUGUUGUGGGCGUUUCAUUUCCUUAAAGUAAUAGAAAGGUUUGUUUUUUUAAUUUAAAAAGAAUUUCUGAUUUAGGGAAAGAUUGCAAUUAAUAAUGAGUAUUAUGAUCAACAGCUACAUAUACAUAUCACUUUUAAGAUCUUUAGAGAGCUAAUUACUUAGGGAAGAUUCAAAGACAUUUAUAUAGUUUAUUUAAGUAUCCAAAUGCACUACAAUUAUUUGUAGUUUUUAAUCUAAAAUGAGCCUUUUAGAAAACCUCAGUCACACAACUACACACACACACACAGACACACACACACACACCCUACAUAUAUACUUGUUCUAACAAAGCUAAUUUCUUCUGGAACUUGGUAAAAUUCUGGAAUUUGUGAAUAUUAAUAGAGAAAUAAAAAGGGUAUUAACUAGAGUUUUUGUUCUAAUCCUGUUACUACCUACCUGUAUGUACUUGAGAAAAUUAAACCUUUCUAAGCCUGCAUUCUCACUGACAAAAAUGGGGAUAAUGACAGAAAAUUUAUAGAGUUUUGAGGAGUAAUAAAGUUACUUAUGUGCUGGCACAUAGUAAGUGUUCAAUAAGCACUAACUUUUACUUUCUGUCUCAUCUAGAUGUUUCUGUUCUUUUGGGAAGGAAGCAGCAAGCAUUGUUUAAAAAUAUCUUCCUUCUUUUGCAUUUUUUCUCUUCGAAGAUUUAAAAGAAGAAUUACACAAAGAACUAGAACUGCACAUUUGUUAAGAUUGUCCUUUUAAAAUUAUUUUCUGUUGCAUGGAAAAAAUAAAAGAUUGAUUAUAGUGUCAU